UACGUAGGCAGCAAGCGUUGUUCGGAAUUACUGGGCGUAAAGCGCACGUAGGCGGCUCUUUAAGUCGGGGGUGAAAUCCUGGAGCUCAACUCCAGAACUGCCUUCGAUACUGGAGAGCUCGAGUCCGGGAGAGGUGAGUGGAACUGCGAGUGUAGAGGUGAAAUUCGUAGAUAUUCGCAAGAACACCAGUGGCGAAGGCGGCUCACUGGCCCGGUACUGACGCUGAGGUGCGAAAGCGUGGGGAGCAAACAGG
rnacentral:rRNA from 1 species